rnacentral:rRNA from 1 species
UAACACGUGGGGAACCUGCCCCAUAGUCUGGGAUACCACUUGGAAACAGGUGCUAAUACCGGAUAAGAAAGCGGAUCGCAUGAUCAGCUUUUAAAAGGCGGCGUAAGCUGUCGCUAUGGGAUGGCCCCGCGGUGCAUUAGCUAGUUGGUAAGGUAAAGGCUUACCAAGGCGAUAAUGCAUAGCCGAGUUGAGAGACUGAUCGGCCACAUUGGGACUGAGACACGGCCCAAACUCCUACGGGAGGCAGCAGCC